rnacentral:rRNA from 1 species
UACGGAGGGUGCGAGCGUUGUCCGGAAUCACUGGGCGUAAAGGGCGCGUAGGCGGCUCAUGAAGGCUGUGGUGAAAGUCCGGGGCUCAACCUCGGAUCGGCCGUGGCGACUCGUGGGCUGGAGCACUGUAGAGGCGGGUGGAAUUCCGGGUGUAGCGGUGGAAUGCGUAGAGAUCCGGAAGAACACCAGUGGCGAAGGCGGCCCGCUGGGCAGUGGGCUGACGCUGAAGCGCGACAGCGUGGGGGAGCAAACGAG